CAGCGCCCAUCGCUGUCUGAGCGGUCCCUUCCCUUCGCCCGCUCCCCGCCCCCCUGGGCCGAGUGGAGUUGGGUAGUGUCGGUGGCCUCACCCUAAGGGGCACGGCAGCUUCAGGAGCUGGGCUUUCAGCGCGGCGCGAUGUCAGGCGCCGUGAUGGGUCUGUCAGUCCGAGGCCGCGGCCGUGGCGCUGGGCGGCUGCGGGGCCUGGCCGGGUCCGCUCAUGGUGCCGCCACGACGCCAUCGCGGGGCAGGAAGGCCAGGUGUGCUGAGUUCUUCACCUCCUUUUAGACUGGGAUCUGCCAAGUUUUCAGGCAUUGCUCUUGAAGAUCUCAGAAAGGCCUUUAAAACAAGACUGCAAAUGGUGUGUGUAUUUAUCAUGAACCGAAUGAAUUCCCAGAACAGUGGUUUCACUCAGCGCAGGCGAAUGGCCCUUGGGAUUGUUAUUCUCCUUCUUGUUGAUGUGAUAUGGGUUGCCUCCUCAGAACUUACUUCGUAUGUUUUUACUCAGUACAACAAACCAUUCUUCAGCACCUUUGCAAAAACAUCUAUGUUCAUUCUGUACCUUUUGGGCUUUAUUAUUUGGAAGCCAUGGAGGCAACAGUGCACAAGAGGAUUUCGAGGAAAGCAUGCUGCUUUUUUGCAGAUGCUGAAGGUUACUUUGCUGCUUGCACAACAGAUACAACUAUGAAUAGUUCUUUGAGUGAACCUCUGUAUGUUCCUGUGAAAUUUCAUGAUCUUCCAAGUGAAAAACCUGAGAGCACAAACAUCGGUACUGAAAAAACUCCCAAAAAGUCUCGUGUAAGUUUCAGUAAUAUCAUGGAGAUUCGACAGCUUCCAUCAAGCCAUGCGUUGGAAGCGAAGUUGUCUCGCAUGUCACAUCCUACUGUGAAAGAACAAGAAUCCAUACUGAAAACUGUGGGGAAACUGACUGCAACUCAAGUAGCAAAAAUUAGCUUUUUUUUUUGCUUUGUGGUAGGUCUUUUCUUUAUAAUAUUUUGGAAUUUGAAUUUUAAGACAGUAAAUAUACCAAUAAUAUAGUAUUGAA